rnacentral:tRNA from 1 species
ACCUGGAUGGCUCAGUCGGUUAAGCGUCCGACUUCAGCUCAGGUCAUGAUCUCGCAGUUUGUGGGUUCGAGCCCCACGUCAGGCU